rnacentral:rRNA from 1 species
AUUGAACGCUGGCGGCAGGCCUAACACAUGCAAGUCGAGCGGAUGACGGGAGCUUGCUCCUCGAUUCAGCGGCGGACGGGUGAGUAAUACCUAGGAAUCUGCCUGAUAGUGGGGGACAACGUUUCGAAAGGAACGCUAAUACCGCAUACGUCCUACGGGAGAAAGCAGGGGACCUUCGGGCCUUGCGCUAACAGAUGAGCCUAGGUCGGAUUAGCUAGUUGGUGAGGUAAUGGCUCACCAAGGCGACGAUCCGUAACUGGUCUGAGAGGAUGAUCAGUCACACUGGAACUGAGACACGGUCCAGACUCCUACGGGAGGCAGCAGUGGGGAAUAUUGGACAAUGGGCGAAAGCCUGAUCCAGCCAUGCCGCGUGUGUGAAGAAGGUCUUCGGAUUGUAAAGCACUUUAAGUUGGGAGGAAGGGCAGUAAGCUAAUACCUUGCUGUUUUGACGUUAUCGACAGAAUAAGCACCGGCUAACUCUGUGCCAGCAGCCGCCGUAAGAC